GUUAGAAAGCUCUGUCUGUGGGCAGGGUGACUGAAGAAAGGCUUUGGCUUGGCAGACUUUAACACAUGGCUACAAGGAAGUCCUGCUGGGCCAGGAAGAAGUGUCACUGACAUUCCGUUGGGUAUCCACAUAAAUCCUUCCCCGUUUUCUUUUCAAAGGCUUGAUUUGGAAGUCAGAGUGGAAAUGAGAGAAAGAUGACUAUAACAUGGAAAUGGGGCUGGGGAGAGGACUC